rnacentral:snRNA from 1 species
ACAGGCUAUGAACAAUAUC